rnacentral:rRNA from 1 species
GAGUUUGAUCAUGGCUCAGGAUGAACGCUAGCGGCAGGCUUAACACAUGCAAGUCGAACGGUAACAGAAAAAGCUUGCUUUUUGCUGACGAGUGGCGAACGGGUGCGUAACGCGUAUGCAACCUACCUUCUUCUAAGGAAUAGCCCAGAGAAAUUUGGAUUAAUACCUUAUGAUAAUAUUUAUUCGCAUGUUUAAAUAUUUAAAACUCCGGUGGAAGAAGAUGGGCAUGCGUAACAUUAGUUUGUUGGUGAGGUAAUGGCUCACCAAGACUACGAUGUUUAGGGGGUCUGAGAGGAUGAUCCCCCACACUGGUACUGAGACACGGACCAGACUCCUACGGGAGGCAGCAGUGAGGAAUAUUGGUCAAUGGACGAAAGUCUGAACCAGCCAUGCCGCGUGAAGGAUGACGGCCCUACGGGUUGUAAACUUCUUUUGUAUAGGAAGAAACCCCUCUACGUGUAGAGGGUUGACGGUACUAUUCGAAUAAGCACCGGCUAACUCCGUGCCAGCAGCCGCGGUAAUACGGAGGGUGCGAGCGUUAUCCGGAAUUAUUGGGUUUAAAGGGUGCGUAGGCGGAAAUUUAAGUCAGUGGUGAAAGCCUGCAGCUUAACUGUAGAAUUGCCAUUGAUACUGGAUUUCUUGAAUCUAAUAGAAGUAGCGGAAUAUGACAUGUAGCGGUGAAAUGCUUAGAUAUGUCAUAGAACACCGAUAGCG